rnacentral:rRNA from 1 species
AUUAAAUAAAUUUUAGGUAGUAAAAAUAUAUACUUCAAACCUAUUUAUUAUGGCGGCAUUUCAUUUUAUUAGAGGAACUUGUUUUUUAAUCGAUAAUCCACGAUAAUUUUCACUUUAAUUAAAAAUUUAUAUACCGCCAUCUAAAGAGUUAAUUUAAUAAUAUUACUCUUAAUAAAAUAUAAAAAGCUAGGUCAAGGUGUAAUCAACAUUAUAGUUAAAAUGAGUUACACUAAAAAUUAAUUAAGAAUUAAAUAAUAUUAAUUAUUUAUGAAAAAGGAUUUAAAAGUAAUAUUAUAUAAAAUAAUAAUUCAUUAUGAAUCAAAUAAUAAAUGUGCACAUAUCGCCCGUCACCCUUAUCAUAAGGUAAGGU